AUUGAACGCUGGCGGCAUGCUUUACACAUGCAAGUCGAACGGUAACAGGUUAAGCUGACGAGUGGCGAACGGGUGAGUAAUGCAUCGGAACGUGCCCGGUCGUGGGGGAUAACGCAGCGAAAGUUGCGCUAAUACCGCAUACGAUCUGAGGAUGAAAGCGGGGGACCGUAAGGCCUCGCGCGAUCGGAGCGGCCGAUGUCAGAUUAGGUAGAUGGUGGGGUAAAGGCUCACCAAGCCAACGAUCUGUAGCUGGUCUGAGAGGACGACCAGCCACACUGGGACUGAGACACGGCCCAGACUCCUACGGGAGGCAGCAGUGGGGAAUGUUGGACAAUGGGCGAAAGCCUGAUCCAGCAAUGCCGCGUGCAGGAAGAAGGCCUUCGGGUUGUAAACUGCUUUUGUACGGAGCGAAAAGGUCUCCUCUAAUACAGGGGGCUCAUGACGGUACCGUAAGAAUAAGCACCGGCUAACUACGUGCCAGCAGCCGCAGUAA
rnacentral:rRNA from 1 species